ensembl:lncRNA
AUAGAUGAUCUUUUAUGUAAAGCAGUAUGUUGGGUCUUUCAGCUUUUGUGGUUCUGGUCAAAAGUAGUGCACUGUGGCGCAGCGGUCUAAAGCACUGCAUCUCAGUGCAAGAGGCAGUCCCUGGUUCGGUCCCUGGUUCGAAUCAAGGCUUUAUCACAUCCGGCUGUGAUUGGGAGUCCCAUAGGGCAGCACACAAUUGGCCAGCGUCGUCUGGGUUUGGCCGAGGUAGGCCGUCAUUGUAAAUCUGAAUUUGUUCUUAACUGACAUGCCUAGUUAAAUAAAGGUUAAAUAAAAAACAUAGGGAGACACUGUGGUCUGUGGUUCUCAUAGGUGUCAUAAAAUAUCAUAUCAGUUGUGAUUCCCCUUGGGGAACUGAGAAAAUAACAAUUAAAACAAACACACAGAAACCUGCAGAGCGACUUCACACAUUCACCACAAAACUCUCUAAACACAAGUCAGGAAAACAGCACACCCAUCUAUUACCACAGACUGUCACGUUUUAUAUGCAAAUACACUGAUCAACUCUUUUCCAUAACUUUUAACACCUUUAUACAUCACACCGUUUCUGUUCCUCCAUAGUUUCCCACUCCUGUUCUCUGAUGGUUAUGACAGGGCAUGGCAGGUUGAAGAAGCCAAAUGGAUUUAUUGUCAAUGUUCUGCAGAGUAAUGAACAGGCAAUUACUGCUUUAUGAACCAACCUUCAGAAUUUGGCAGAUGUGAAAUAUAGAUCAGUUUUUUUCUGUUUGUAGGUUUUUGUUAAUUGGUUUUGCAUCACAGCUUUAUGUUUGUCAGUCAUUGGUUUCUCAAUAAUGGUUGAACUUUUAUGUAAAGCAGUAUGUUUGGUCUUUCGGUUUUUGUGGUAUGUGGUCUUAUUUCAGCCUUUACUACAAAGUCAAUGGGGUGUCAGCUUUUUUCAAACAGAAACUACUUAAACAUCAUUAUUGUAAAUCACAAGACAGAGUGGGGUAUGUUUAGAUAAGACUGCGUUUGUAUGGGGGAAAAUAAAUGUGAAAAAUAAUACUUGUAAUGUACAAUUUAUCCUGCAUCAUCAUAUACUAUAUCACUGGGAAUCACUACACAGACACCAUUGUUUUUGUUAACAAUGAUGGAAUGCCAACGAUGGUUUGAUGUUUGAAACUUCUGACGUUGAAUGUUGUUUCCUUUUUUUAACAAAUAUAAUAAAUGAAAUAAAUUGUCUGAACACAUUAAAUAAA